rnacentral:rRNA from 1 species
UACGAAGGGGGCUAGCGUUGUUCGGAAUUACUGGGCGUAAAGCGCGCGCAGGCGGCUAUCCAAGUCAGUGGUGAAAGCCCGGAGCUCAACUCCGGAACUGCCAUUGAAACUGUUUAGCUUGAGGACGAGAGAGGUGAGUGGAAUUCCCAGUGUAGAGGUGAAAUUCGUAGAUAUUGGGAAGAACACCAGUGGCGAAGGCGGCUCACUGGCCCGGUACUGACGCUGAGGUGCGAAAGCGUGGGGAGCAAACAGG